rnacentral:rRNA from 1 species
AGGACGAACGCUGGCGGCGUGCUUAACACAUGCAAGUCGAGCGGUAAGGCUCCUUCGGGAGUACACGAGCGGCGAACGGGUGAGUAACACGUGAGCAAUCUGCCCUUCUCUUUGGAAUAAGCGUUGGAAACGACGUCUAAUGCCGAAUACGACCUCCUUUCGCAUGAUCGGAGGUGGAAAGCUCCGGCGGAGAAGGAUGAGCUCGCGGCCUAUCAGCUAGUUGGUAAGGUAAUGGCUUACCAAGGCUUCGAUCUGUA